UACGAAGGGUGCAAGCGUUACUCGGAAUUACUGGGCGUAAAGCGUGCGUAGGUGGUUUGUUAAGUCUGCUGUGAAAGCCCCGGGCUCAACCUGGGAAUGGCAGUGGAUACUGGCAAGCUAGAGUGCGGUAGAGGGGUGUGGAAUUCCCGGUGUAGCGGUGAAAUGCGCAGAGUAUCGGGAAGAACACCCGUGGCGAAGGCGGCUCUCUGGGACGGUACUGACGCUGAGACGCGAAAGCGUGGGGAGCGAACAGG
rnacentral:rRNA from 1 species